GAGAAGACCUUUUACAAAAGGCAAUGGUACAAACAAGCAUACAUCUCAAGAAUAUCUACAACAAAUCAGAAUCAGAAUCACUGGAGAUCAAAGAAAGCAUUAGCCAUGCUCUUGAGCUUCCAUUGCACCAGAGAAUGGUUAUGCUGGAAGCACGCUGGGCUAUCGAAACAUAUAGUAAAAGAGAGGAUGCAAAUUUCAAGCUACUUGAACUUGCAAAGCUGGAUUUCAACAUGGUGCAGUCAGUACUUCAAAGAGAUCUCAAGGACAUGUCAAGGUGGUGGGACAGUUUAGGCAUAUCAAACAAGUUGGAGUUUUGCAGAGAUAGACUAAUGGAAUGCUUCUUCUGGACAGUUGGAAUGGUAUUUGAGCCAGAGUUUAGUUCUUGUCGCAAAGGGCUAACAAAAGUCACAUCUUUCAUAACCACCAUAGAUGAUGUCUAUGAUGUUUAUGGUACUCUCGAAGAAUUGGAGCUAUUCACCCACGCUGUUGAGAGAUGGGAUGUAAGUGCAGUGAGAGAUCUUCCUGAUUAUAUGAAGAUAUGUUUCCUUGCUUUCUUCAACACCAUCAAUGAGAUAGCUUACCACACUCUCAAAGAACAAGGAGAAGAUGCCAUUCCUUACCUCAAAAAAGCAUGGUCUGAUUUGUGUAAAGCAUUCUUAAAAGAAGCAAAGUGGAGCUACAACAAAUAUAUACCAUCAUUUGAAGAGUAUCUUGAAAAUGCCUGGCGAUCAGUAUCAGGAACUGUUAUACUGAUUCAUGCAUACUUUCUAAUGUUUCCAAGUAAUUCCAAGGAGCCACUUGAUUGCUUAUAUAACUAUCAUGAUCUACUUCGAUGGCCAUCCAUUAUUUUUCGCCUUUCCAAUGAUUUAGGGACUUCCUCGGCAGAGAUAGUUCGAGGUGAAACCGUAAAUUCAAUCUCCUGCUACAUGAACGAAACUGGUGUUUCUGAAGAACAAGCGCGUGAACACAUAAGUAAAUUGAUAGGCAAGGCAUGGAAGAAGAUAAAUGAGCAGAAAAUUGAUGAGAAAACUCCAUUUGCUAAGCCUUUUGUGGAAGCAGCAAUAAAUCUUGCCAGGAUUGCCCAAUGCACAUACCAACAUGGAGAUGGCCAUGGUGCUCCUGAUUGCAGAUCAAAGCACAGAGUCCUAUCGUUGAUUAUUGAACCUAUUUCAAUUAAUGUAGAUAAAUGGCCAAAUCAAUAAUGGUGCUCUUUAUACUUCACUCUUUUAUAUUUGCACCCUCAGUUAAAAUGAUAAAAUUACCCUCACAUCUAUAUUAUUGUUGUAGAUGCCUAUUUUUGCAAUUGAUUGUAUGAUCAAUGUAUUUAAACAUAGGAUAUUCACUAUGUAUAGAAC
rnacentral:misc_RNA from 1 species